CCAGCCAAGGAGGUGUCACCGCCCAGCUAGGCAGUGCCACCGCCUACAGUGUUUUCAGCCCGACUACAGUGUUUUCAGCCACUAGUUGGGCUUCAAUCUUGGCUCUCUAGUUCGCUGGUUUAGCUUAAUUUUUAGCCUAAACCAACUCUGACUUUGGGCCCAGUUGGCCCCUAACCAGGAUAUAGGAUUAUCUCUUAAU
rnacentral:lncRNA from 1 species